CAAAUUAAGAGAAACUGAACGAAACUGAACUUAGGUUUUGAUUGGAUUGAUUUUUUUCAAAACUUAAAAUCUGAAUCCAAAUAAUACAAAACCAAAUUAGAAAAAGUAAUGCACACCCUACUAGCUGUCACCGUAAAGGCAGCUGAGAAAUAAAAAUUGAAGAAUUGAAGAUGCAUCGGCGCUCAUUAACCUGUAUUUAUUGCUCCUGCUGGUGUUCAUAACCUUUAAAAUUAUUGCUCAACCGGGAAUCCAGAGGCUCGUGUUUAAGCUAAAGGAAUUGGUUAGACGGAUAGAUGGUAAUGUUCUAAUGGUUUCUACUUUAUUCGUUGUCUUUAUCUACUGCCUAAUACUAGAGAAUUUGGAAUUAUGGUGUAAAAAAUUAUUGAUUUUCUUGACACAUGAAACAAUGUACUCCCUCUGUUUCAAUCUAUUUGUUUCAUUUUCCUUUUUAGUCUGUUUAAAAAAGAGUGCAUGUUUCCUAAUUUGGCAUCUCUUUUUAACUCCAAAUCCCACAUGACAUGUUUAAGACCACACAAUUAAAGUGCAUUUUGACACAUUAUGCAAAUCUUUAAUUCAAGACCAGAAGAAUCAGCAAUCUUCUUUACUUUCUUAAACUCCGUGUCCAGUCAAACUAAAACAAACAAUUGAAACAAAGGGGGUAAUAGUUUUAAAGGUUAAGCAAAUUUUGGUUUCACAUAUUAUGUCUUUUAUUUUGUGAAUAAGUUUAACUUUCUAUGACCUUAUGAAAGGGUAUGUAUACCUCGAUGAGUUGACAACAUUGUGAGAGUGUUUUACAGUUGGAACCAGUAUUUAUUUCAUUUAGUUUUAUUGGCCUGCUAAAAUUGCUCUGUAUUUAUUUGGCUGGAAAGAGAUACACAUGUAUUUCUGUCUGUUAUAAUUUGUUGAUGGAGGUGGUUGAAAGAUUGUCUUCUGAUAAUUGGAACUUGGAUCACCAUAAAAAUUUGGACAUGGUAAAGAGAUGCUGGAAAAAAGAAAAAAAGACCCUGGAAGAUCAGUUACUGCAAAAGGUCAAAAGAAACUGAUAAAAUGGUGAAUUUCAUCAUGUAUAAGAAAACACUUAUUUUCUUUCAAAUUGCUAGAGGUUAACAAUGGUUGAACUGUGGUUUCAGAGCUAAGAAAGUACGAGCAAUCGAAAGUAGGGGACUAAGAAAUGACAGCACACAAUUUAUUGUCCGUCCUUCCUGUCUAUGUAUUAUAUUCUUCCUGAAAAAUUCGGUGACAUGUUAUAAUUUUGAUAUUUGGUUCCUCCCCAUUUUCUAGAACCUGUGUCAACACACAUGGAAGAGUGGGCUUGAGUUUCUCCAGUCCGCUGGUUCAAUUGUCUCUCGAUACUUGAGAUCCCUUUCCAUCUUGUUACCCGAUUGUGGGAUACAUAUCUUGCAGUAGGUGAUGCACUGCCAGAUUUUCCUGUGUAUAUAGCUGCAAGCUUUCUUCUCACAUGGUCAGAUAAGCUGCUGAAGCUUGACUUCCAAGAGAUGGUUAUGUUCCUUCAACACCUUCAACAAUUAGUGCAAUAGUAAGUUGGUCAAACAUUCACAAUGUAGUAUCCAAAUUCAAAGCUUAUCAAACUUAUACAUAAUAAGAAGGCAAUCGAUUAUUAUUUUAUUACAUAGAUAUUGAAUGCACUACAUAAAAUCUACGUGUAAAUCACACUCCGUCGCUAUUCUUUAAGAAUUGACAAUUUAUUCUAUGCUACAUCAUCAAGACUACUCCAAAAGCAAGU